rnacentral:tRNA from 1 species
GCGGGUGUGGCGGAAUUGGUAGACGCGCCGGAUUCAAAAUCCGGUUUCCUCGGAAGUGUCGGUUCGAGUCCGACCACCCGCACCA